AAAAUUAUGAAUAAAAUAAUUAUAUUUGAUUUUGAUUUCACAAAUUAACAGUCAAGUUAAAUAAACAGUUUAAUUCUUAACCAAUUUGCGUUUGUACUAAUUUUUUCAACUGUUAACAAAUCAAUGUCAACAUACAUUGGAAAUUCAAGAUUUUAUAAAUUAUUAAGUGGUUAAUACCUAUUGGUACUAUAACAUGGAAAAACUGAAAGAUAAAAUAUAAUCAAUUUUGAAUUCACUAACUAUCGACGUACACUAAGGAACUGAUUUAAUACUUAUUAUUACAGAAAUAU